rnacentral:lncRNA from 1 species
UGAACUAUAUAUGUUAUAUAGUUCAGUGUAUAGACCUUAUUCAUAAAUCAUGAUCGAGGCCUCGUAUAUCCUAGGAUACGGGGAAAACGCGGGAAAACAAGCGAAAAAUGCUUGACAAGCCAAAUUCAGAUGCUAUUGUGUCGACUUUAACGGCUUGUUUCUUUUUGCUUAUUUCGAUUUAUAACGAUUUUUGUGUGUAUUUUAAGAUUUUGUGCCCACAACGAAAGCUGUUAACGAGAACAUUAGACCGGUUUUUCUCCCGUUUUUUGUGUGGAAAAUAUGACAACGCGUGCUAAGCGAUGGUGUUUAUCCCAAAAGCGAAGCGAAAAACAAUAUUUUUGACUGAUAUUUUAACGUCAAUAUAUAGGUUAUUCCGUGAAAAAUCAAGACAACUAUGGAAUGAAAGUAUAAAUUGUGAAAUUGACAUUAAUAUGAAAGAAAACAAGGGUCCAAAAUCACAAGAGAACGUCAAAUGUUAUUGAUUUCGCACGGAAAAAUAUGAACUAUGUCUGUGGCUCGAUGACAUUCUGCAAGCAGUUUACAAGUUUAAAAAUGAAGGUUACAUUAUCUGAGUGAGUUGUAAUCUUAUUUCUUCAACAAUAGUUUCAUAUUUCUUACGAUUUUGGUGUUGUACAGACG